GCGUUAACGAACGAGACCUUAACCUGCUAAAUAGACCAGCCGGCUUUGGCUAGCUGCUGUCUUCUUAGAGGGACUAUCAGCGUUUAGCUGAUGGAAGUUUGAGGCAAUAACAGGUCUGUGAUGCCCUUAGAUGUUCUGGGCCGCACGCGCGCUACACUGACAGAGCCAGCGAGUCUACCACCUUUGCCGGAAGGCAUGGGUAAUCUUGUGAAACUCUGUCGUGAUGGGGAUAGAACAUUGCAAUUAUUGUUCUUCAACGAGGAAUACCUAGUAAGCGUGAUUCAUCAGAUCGCGUUGAUUACGUCCCUGCCCUUUGUACACACCGCCCGUCGCUAAUACCGAUUGAAUGGAU
rnacentral:rRNA from 1 species